UACGGAGGGGGCUAGCGUUGUUCGGAAUUACUGGGCGUAAAGCGCACGUAGGCGGACUGUUAAGUCGGGGGUGAAAACCCGGGGCUCAACCCCGGGCCUGUAUUCGAUACGGGCAGACUAGAGUUCGGUAGGGGAGUCUGGAAUUCCUGGUGUAGCGGUGAAAUGCGCAGAUAUCAGGAGGAACACCGGUGGCGAAGGCGGGACUCUGGGCCGAUACUGACGCUGAGGAGCGAAAGCGUGGGGAGCGAACAGG
rnacentral:rRNA from 1 species